CAUCAACACCAGGGGUGCAAGCUUCAAUAAAGUUUGCUGAGAAAAACCCUUAUAACCUGUUCAGGAUAAUGCCUGCGAAGGGAGAGUGAAAUGAAAUUCAA
rnacentral:ncRNA from 2 species